GUUGACCUCGGAUCGGGUAGGGAUACCCGCUGAACUUAAGCAUAUCAA
rnacentral:rRNA from 1 species